UAUCCUGUGUAUUUUGCUUUUGAGGAUGAUAAUAUCAAUGCUGUACUAGCUGAAGUCAAGAGAAAUGAUGCUAGUGGUCAACCUGCAACUGCUACAACAGGCGGAUACAAGCUUGUUGUUGCUGCCUCAGAUCCUAAGAAAAUUGCAUCUCCCACCAUUACAAAUAUUCAGGGAUGGUUACCCGGGCUUAAACCUGAUGGAGACUCAAGUCAACUCCCUACUAUUGCCAUAGUGGCUUCGUAUGACACGUUUGGGGCUGCACCGGCAUUGUCAGUUGGAAGUGAUAGCAAUGGAAGUGGUGUUGUGGCACUUCUUGAGAUAGCUAGGCUGUUUUCUGUUCUGUAUUCAAAUCCUAAAACAAGGGGUAGAUAUAACUUACUUUUUGGAUUGACGUCUGGUGGGCCUUAUAACUUCAACGGAACUCAGAAGUGGCUUCGAAGUUUUGACCAACGCCUACGGGAGAGUAUCGACUAUGCCAUUUGCUUGAAUAGUCUUGGCUGGAGAAACCCUGAAAUAUUUGUUGUAUGUAUGUGUUUUCAGGAGGUUUAGAAA
rnacentral:misc_RNA from 1 species